rnacentral:rRNA from 1 species
UACGUAGGUGGCAAGCGUUGUCCGGAAUUAUUGGGCGUAAAGCGCGCGCAGGCGGUCCUUUAAGUCUGAUGUGAAAGCCCACGGCUCAACCGUGGAGGUCAUUGGAAACUGGGGGACUUGAGUACAGAAGAGAAGAGUGGAAUUCCACGUGUAGCGGUGAAAUGCGUAGAGAUGUGGAGGAACACCAGUGGCGAAGGCGACUCUUUGGUCUGUAACUGACGCUGAGGCGCGAAAGCGUGGGGAGCAACAGG